rnacentral:rRNA from 1 species
UGGGGAAUAUUGCACAAUGGGGGAAACCCUGAUGCAGCGACGCCGCGUGAACGAAGAAGGUAUUCGUAUCGUAAAGUUCUGUCCUAUGGAAAGAUAAUGACAGUACCAUAGAAGAAAGCUCCGGCUAAAUACGUGCCAGCAGCCGCGGUAAUACGUAUGGAGCGAGCGUUGUCCGGAAUUAUUGGGCGUAAAGGGUACGCAGGCGGUUUAAUAAGUCGAAUGUUAAAGAUCGGGGCUCAACCCCGUAAAGCAUUGGAAACUGAUAAACUUGAGUAGUGGAGAGGAAAGUGGAAUUCCUAGUGUAGUGGUGAAAUACGUAGAUAUUAGGAGGAAUACCAGUAGCGAAGGCGACUUUCUGGACACAAACUGACGCUGAGGUACGAAAGCGUGGGGAGCAAACAGG